rnacentral:tRNA from 1 species
AGGUUCUGGGGUGUUACAUGCGUGGUUGCAAACCUCGAGAAGCAGAGAGAAUCUGCCGGAGCCUA